GGGACCUGGGUCUGUUCAGCCUUGAGGAAAGAAGACUGAGAGCAGAUCUGAUUAAUGCUUACGUAUUUGUUCAGUGUGAGAGUCCAAAGGACACGGCCAACCUCUUGUCAGCGAUCUGUGGGGACAGGAGAAGGGGAAAUGGCCACAAAGUGGAGCACAGGAAGUUCUGCACCAAAAUGCAAAGGAUCUUCUUCACGCGAUGCAGCGUUUCAGAAGGGAGAAAAGCACGGCAGGCGUAAACUGGAUUUCUGUGGUUGGUAAAGCUGUGCUGAGAAGUGGGCUGACACUGGGACCUGGAAAUGUGUCUGCAGACUCUGCACCCACAGGAAUGACUUUUCCCUGCAGGUUGGGCUUGUCUAAGGUGAUUUUUUCACGAGGAAAGAUUUGAAAUGCUGUUUGCUAAUGGAAGAUGGAGAGAGGAAAAUCAAGUGAAAGGCACGCUGUGCAUAGCCAGCACAUAGCAUCUGCACCGCUCUCCCCCUGCGCAAAGGAGGAGCAGCUCAGCAAGCUCGGCCUGAGCCAUGGAAGGGAGCAUACAAACAUCUGGACCAACCCCAGCGGAGCUGCUUCUGCAGGAAUCCAUGUGGGUUUUUUAAUGAAGAACAGACUCGUUGUGCAGCUUGUAAGUGAAUUCAUUCACACCUGUUAAUUGACGUUCUUCUCUACGUGGAGCUGCAAUUGCAAUGGAUGCUUGUGGUCUGAUGUACAGCCCCGUCUAAUGUGCUCAGAUAAGCCAAGUUUGCAAGGCCUGGCUCUCGGUUGUAAGUCCUGUUGUUACACACAGCAUCUUGGGGGCAACCUUGAUUUCUGCAGCCCCGAGCUUUGUGGCACGAGAGCUCUCGGCCAUGCUUCUCCUUGUGAUGUGUGACCGUAUGGAAGGCCUCGCAGAAGCCUGGUCAUAACCAUGGAACCACAGAAGUGUUACCCAGGCAGAAGGAGCCUUUGUCACCUGGACUUCCUACCAAUGACACAGGCAGUGGAAGUCAGCAUCCCAAGCAUCCAUGAAACCCCUGCACAGGACUGGAAGAAAAGCUUGAUGUCUGUGCCAAGGGAGACGUACACCGCACUUGCGCUGCCUGGACGAUGUGGAAACUGGAAAUUCUGGGGUGUGCUGAAGCAUGCCC